UACGAACCGUCCAAACGUUAUUCGGAAUCACUGGGCUUAAAGGGUGCGUAGGCGGCCAUGUAAGUGAGGUGUGAAAUCCCUCGGCUCAACCGAGGAACUGCGCUUCAUACUGCAUGGCUUGAGGGAGACAGGGGUAAGCGGAACUGAUGGUGGAGCGGUGAAAUGCGUUGAUAUCAUCAGGAACACCGGUGGCGAAAGCGGCUUACUGGGUCUCUUCUGACGCUGAGGUACGAAAGCUAGGGUAGCGAACGGG
rnacentral:rRNA from 1 species